rnacentral:rRNA from 1 species
UAGGGAAUCUUCCGCAAUGGACGCAAGUCUGACGGAGCAACGCCGCGUGAGUGAAGAAGGAUUUCGGUUCGUAAAACUCUGUUGUUAGAGAAGAACAGCGCAUAGAGUAACUGUUAUGCGUGUGACGGUAUCUAACCAGAAAGCCACGGCUAACUACGUGCCAGCAGCCGCGGUAAUACGUAGGUGGCAAGCGUUGUCCGGAUUUAUUGGGCGUAAAGCGAGCGCAGGCGGUCAAUUAAGUCUGAUGUGAAAGCCCCCGGCUCAACCGGGGAGGGUCAUUGGAAACUGGUUGACUUGAGUGCAGAAGAGGAGAGUGGAAUUCCAUGUGUAGCGGUGAAAUGCGUAGAUAUAUGGAGGAACACCAGUGGCGAAGGCGACGCUCUGGUCUGUAACUGACGCUGAGGCUCGAAAGCGUGGGUAGCAAACAGG